GACGAACGCUGGCGGCGUGCCUAACACAUGCAAGUCGAACGAGGUCCAUCCAGUGGCAACACUGGUGAAGACCUAGUGGCGAACGGGUGAGUAACACGUGAGAAACCCACCCCGAUCUCUGGGAUAACAGGUGGAAACACCUGCUAACACCGGAUGCCUUCACCGCAUCGCAUGGCGUGGUGAAGAAAGGUUACGGAUCGGGACGGUCUCGCGGCCUAUCAGCUUGUUGGCGGGGUAAUGGCCCACCAAGGCUUCGACGGGUAGCUGGUCUGAGAGGACGAUCAGCCACACUGGGACUGAGACACGGCCCAGACUCCUACGGGAGGCAGCAGUGGGGAAUCUUGCUCAAUGGGCGAAAGCCUGAAGCAGCAACGCCGCGUGCGGGAUGAAGGCCCUCGGGUUGUAAACCGCUUUCAGCAGGGAAGAAAACAGACGGUACCUGCAGAAGAAGGUCCGGCUAACUACGUGC
rnacentral:rRNA from 1 species